rnacentral:lncRNA from 1 species
AUUUUUCAACUUUACUAUUUUUAAAAAUCCAACACUUAAUCGUUUGAUAAAUGCAGUUACACAGUGUUAAAUGACUAUAAAAAUUAGCAUAUCCAUGCCUAAUUCUUCAGCAAAGACGGAAUGGGAGGCAGUAAUGUUACACACAGAUAACCUUGCCUUUAAGUCAGUCACUACUCUUCUUGCUCAGAGGCCGUCAUUGCCACCUGCAAGGCCAAAUCCAAAUUCCUCACCCCAGCAUUCAAAGCCUUUAAUGACUUGGCUACAGGGUACCUACCUAACCUUAAGUCCCACCACCCCCUAAACCUACCUUCCACUCUCCGAGCACACAGGCCUCUGGUCAGACCUUAUGUCUGGGGUCUGGCCAUUUCCAGCUUCCUACCUGAUAUGAAGUCUCCUUUCAUCUACAGGCUCUGGCUCGCCAAGGCCUACACUGGCGCUGUGAUCCUCCAGCACUCCAGUCCACCGUGCUCUCACUCCACAGCCCCACACUCCUCCCCUCCCCAGACAGUCUCACCCACUUGCUGUUUUGCCCAGGGCCCCUUUCCCUUCCCACACGAGCUCUCUGGGGCCUUCUCCCUGCCCCAAGAUUCUCCCAAGGGAGGCUCCCUGCCUGCCUCCAUUCAGUCACGGGCUCUGUAUUCAGUGUCUAUUAGGGGUUUCGCGCCUGGGGUGAAACCAGGACCUCGACCCCACAGGACCCUUCCUCCCUUUACUCUCCCCAGCGCUACGGUAACCCUGAAGGGGUUCCCCCCACCACCACCCUCAGGUGCUCCGGCCACCCAAAUCUCCCCUCUGCGGCCGGUCCCUCCUAUCUGGCAGCGGGCAGCAGGGGUCGGCGGUGACUCACCGGAGGGCCGGCGGCCGGGGGGGCCGGAAUGCGCUCACUUCCUCGCCUCGCGCACCUGCCUGCUGGGCACUGCUGGAGCGCCGCCCGGCCGGGCCUCCGGCGGAUGUUUUUUCUGUCCCAGCGCGCGCGCGCCAAUCACCCCCUACUGGCCGCGCCCCCCCCCCCCCCCCCCCCCCCGCAACUGGCAUUCCCAACGGCUGCGGCCCCAGGAAUCAGAGUUGGGCCCUAACCACUGACCUCUUCUACACAUAAGCAUACACACAGCAACCACAAGCAUGGCCUCGGGGCCCAAGCGGCUAUAGAGACGCACACAAGAACGUGCACACCAACAGGAAUGCAAGUGGAUUCAACCAACACCUCCCCGACACGCCCCCCUCCCCCAAAUUCUGUGAGAAGGAUCCCGACUCAGCCCCCGGCUUUCUUUCUAGAAAGAAGCCCCCUACUCCUGCCCAUAUGCCUACCUCAUCUUCAUUAUAGGUGGCCCCCACUUCUGUCCCCAUUACCUCACACACACACCAAUCCCUACUGGGCCCCCUUUGCCUACCGGCAUCAUCACCACCUUCAAGCUUCCUAGCUCCCCAGUCGUGUCUGCCCCCUACUGGGUCGGCU